rnacentral:rRNA from 1 species
UACAGAGGGUGCGAGCGUUGUCCGGAAUCACUGGGCGUAAAGGGCGCGUAGGCGGCUUGAUAAGCGUGCGGUGAAAGCCCGGGGCUCAACCCCGGGUCGGCCGUGCGAACUGUCGAGCUGGAGCACUGUAGAGGCAGGUGGAAUUCCGGGUGUAGCGGUGGAAUGCGUAGAGAUCCGGAAGAACACCGGUGGCGAAGGCGGCCUGCUGGGCAGUGGCUGACGCUGAGGCGCGACAGCGUGGGGAGCGAACCGG